UACGAAGGGGGCUAGCGUUGCUCGGAAUCACUGGGCGUAAAGGGUGCGUAGGCGGGUCUUUAAGUCAGGGGUGAAAUCCUGGAGCUCAACUCCAGAACUGCCUUUGAUACUGAAGAUCUUGAGUUCGGGAGAGGUGAGUGGAACUGCGAGUGUAGAGGUGAAAUUCGUAGAUAUUCGCAAGAACUCCAGUGGCGAAGGCGGCUCACUGGCCCGAUACUGACGCUGAGGCACGAAAGCGUGGGGAGCAAACAGG
rnacentral:rRNA from 1 species